ACCUCAGUGGUGUAGUGGCAGCACAAGUCCCCGGUAUGGAUGGAAGGCGGAUUCAAACCCCGUCUGAGGUC